UUUAACAGUUUAUUAGCAUAUAUAAUAUAUUAUCAGUGUUUAAUAUAUUCGUAUAAUAGUUUGUGAUUUUGUAUAUAUUGUAGUAUAUAAACAAUUAAUGUAUCAUAUAUAGUAUAUAUAUUCAGUAUAUUUAGUGUUGCAUGUUUGGUAUAUUACUAGAAAUUAAUAGAUUAAAUCAGUAUUCAGAAGAGACCAUUUGACAAGAUAAGUGAAUAAUUUUACCCUCUGUAAUCCUUAGGUUGAUGACUUCAUUGUGAGGUAGAAUUCAUUUCUUGCACUACCCUUUGCAGUAUGGUUUUGCUACGCUAAACAGAAGUGAUUGGUCUCCAUUUAUACAUCUGGACAAAAUAUUCUAACUACAGCCCAAGACCCAGUGAAAGAAGCGAAGUAACUAUGAAGCCCAAGAAGAUUUAAACAGAUCCUUCUUGUCAAAAUACAAGCUCAUGCAUUCCAUUUUCUGAUUCCUUUAUUUAACGCACAAGUAAACAAAGGUGAUUCACACAAAAGCCUGCUUAUAUGAUGUACGAACAAUAAACAGAAAGCUAUAAUCAUGUUUUUUCAGAUGUUUCCGGUGCACAACGAUUUUGGAUCGAUACUCUGUGUAAUACAAUUAUCUGCAAUGAUCUGGUUGUAUUGAAAAAGAAUUUGCAGGAGACCUCUAGGGGGUUUUAUCCAGAAACACGUAUCUGGCAAUGUUGUGAAUAGUGGAAGGAAAAAUUAAGGGGUUGACAAACGCUGUCUAUUAUGUACCCAGUAACUUCAUUAUUAUUUUAUUCAUAAAAGUAUUCUACCACAAAGUUGAGACAAACAAGCUCAAAAGUAAUAAUGAUAAUAAUGUUCAUAGCUUCAUAGUACUUAUUUAUAUAGAACAACAACAACAAAAAAAACCUUAACGAACAUAGGACUUGAGAGAGAUUCAAUGUUGUGUGAUUAUUAUGUACCAUAGAUUAUGAGCAACAUUGAUUAUUUAUUUAUGCUAUGAAAUGAAUUCCUGUAUUUCUAUCUUAUGUAAGUCAUGUAAAUACCAGUGGAUGUGAAAUACCAUUUGAUGCCUCUUCAACUACUUUAUUUUUUUACUAGACUGGUCAAAUUCUAGACUGAGGAUCAACUUGCAUUGUUCACAAGCACUGUAUAUUAAGCCCUUUAUUUCAGGCCUUUUUUUUCCCCCCCUAAAUGAAGACUUGCAACCUCAGGGAAAGGGCUAAGAUACAUAGUCUGUAUCUGAAAGACAUUAUGCAUUUUCUGCAAAGAUCUCUGUGUGUAGAAACAACUCAGUUUUGUUUUUAUGGUUCUCUUGAAGAUGCGGACUCUUUGCAUCAUCUUCCUUAAAGCCCAAAACGUUCCACGUUUCCUAUUUGGAGCCCCUAAUCACACAUCUGUGAUGUGCAAUUCUCUUUCAUCAGACUAGAACAGAUUACAUUCUGGUGAAGUUCACAAAUUGGGGUACACUGGUCCCUCUCAC